rnacentral:sRNA from 1 species
AUCACUUCUCAGCCUUUUGGCUAAGAUCAAGUGUAGAACCACCCCUCCUCACCCGACAGGCAUACCAUGUUUUUAGAUUCUAUCUUCACUUCUCUUCUACUUAUU